AAGCCCUUGCACUUUUGGAGCGGCCGAUGUCUGAUUAGCUAGUUGGUGGGGUAAUGGCCUACCAAGCUUCGAUCAGUAGCUGGUCUGAGAGGACGGCCAGCCACACUGGGACUGAGACACGGCCCAGACUCCUACGGGAGGCAGCAGUGGGGAAUUUUGGACAAUGGGCGCAAGCCUGAUCCAGCCAUGCCGCGUGAGUGAAGAAGGSCUUCGGGUUGUAAAGCUCUUUCAGUCGGGAAYAAAAGGUUGCGGCUAAUAAUCGCAAUUCAUGACGGUACCGGAAGAAGAAGCACCGGCUAACUACGUGCCAGCAGCCGCGGUAAUACGUAGGGUGCGAGCGUUAAUCGGAAUUACUGGGCGUAAAGGGUGCGCAGGCGGUUUUGUAAGUCAGAUGUGAAAUCCCCGGGCUUAACCUGGGAACU
rnacentral:rRNA from 1 species